AUUGAACGCUAGCGGGAUGCCUUACACAUGCAAGUCGAACGGAGUGGCGAACGGGUGAGUAAUGUAUCGGAACGUGCCCAGUAGCGGGGGAUAACUACGCGAAAGCGUAGCUAAUAACGCAUACUAUUGGCGCGGCCGAUAGCGGAUUCGCGAGUUGGUGGGGUAACGGCUCACCAAGGCGGCGAUCCGUAGCUGGGUUGAGAGGACGACCAGCCAAACUGGGACGUAGACACGGCCCAGACUCCUACGGGAGGCAGCAGUGGGGAAUUUGGGACAAUGGGGGAAACCCUUGUCCAGCCAUCCCGCGUGUGCGAUGAAGGCCUUCGGGUUGUAAAGCACUUUUGGCAUGAAAGCGGUACCUGCAGAAUAAGCACCGGCUAACUACGUGCCAGCAGCCGCGGUAAUAC
rnacentral:rRNA from 1 species